CACGAGGUAUUUCCUGGGAAUUGAUGACUGAUUGGUGUUAAUGGCCCUCAGCUGCACCUCAGGCCAUCAGCUCCUCCCAGCUGGUCAUUAAUCCACAGGAAAUGUCUCAGG